CAGGGGAUUGCAGUGGCAAAGCUAGGCUAGGUCUUGGAGGCUGGUGUAAGGCGAUGCGGGUGAAGGCAGGAGGCUGAUGGAAAGACUGGGGGGAAGAAAAGCCGAAAUGGAUUCACGGUGCCUUGGAUGAAGGACGAGAGGGGAACUGCAAGCUCCUUCAACUGGUUCUGUCCGGUGAGAAGUGAUCAAGCUUGGGCUGACAAGAGGCUCAGGGAGCCCUCACGUUCUUUCGCUUUUUUACCUGCCAAUCAAACUGCUACAAGACAACACCCUGAUCUGGCAUGGACAUCGCGGGUCCAAGCCUGUAGCCCCAAAUCGGAUAAUCUCUGCAGCUGAUAACAAGCAAAAGAGAAGCCAGGCAACAGCCAUAUUAAAGAAGAAAACAAUCAACUCUGAGUCAUUGCAGUCACCUGGAGUCGCGGAAAUGACCAUGAUUGCCUGAACUUUCAUAACUUCUGUGGUUGCAGAAAAGAGAAAACCUGGACUGUGAGGGACAUUUUACUCCCUGACCUUUGGUACAUGGCCUCCCUACAGCGUUGGCUCAGCUCUAGCUACUUGGAAGGUCGUGGCAAUGCUGUCUCAGAAUGUCCAUUUCUAGAGUACAGGGAAGAAAUUCUAGCUUGACGUCCACGUGCAUUUGUCUGUGUUUCAGAGGAAAUUCCAGUUCUAAACUCUUGGAAGAAACAAUUUCUCGGCAUGCUGAAGAGACUUGCUGUUUUUUGGCACCUGAAACAUUUUUACCUGAGGGUUCUGAUUAUUUAAAUAAUUGGUAUGCUAUAACU
rnacentral:sRNA from 1 species